rnacentral:rRNA from 1 species
UACCUGCAGCUCAAGUGGUGACCGCUAUUAUUGGGCCUAAAACGUUCGUAGCCGGCUGAGUAAAUGCUUGGGUAAAUCGUGCCGCUUAACGGUACGAAUUCCGGGUAGACUGCUCAGCUUGAGACCGGGAGAAGCUAGAGGUACUCCUAGGGUAGAGGUGAAAUUCUGUAAUCCUGGGGAGACCACCAGUGGCGAAGGCGUCUAGCUAGAACGGGUCUGACGGUGAGGGACGAAACCCUGGGGCGCAAACCGGAUUAGAUACCCGGGUAGUCCAGGGCGCAAACGCUGCUUGCUUGAUGUUAGUUGGGCUCCGGGCUCAGCUAGUGUCGGAGAGAAGUUGUUAAGCAAGCUGCCUGGGAAUACGAUCGCAAGAUUGAAACUUAAAGGAAUUGGCGGGGAGCACAGCAACGGGUGGAGCGUGCGGUUU